rnacentral:rRNA from 1 species
AUUGAACGCUAGCGGGAUGCUUUACACAUGCAAGUCGAACGAGUGGCGGACGGGUGAGUAAUAUAGCGGAACGUGCCCAGUAGCGGGGGAUAACUACUCGAAAGAGUGGCUAAUACCGCAUACUCUUGGAGCGGCCGCUAUCGGAUUAGCGAGUGGGUGGGGUAAAGGCGCACCAAGGCAACGAUCCGUAGCGGGUUUGAGAGGACGAACAGCCACACUGGGACUGGGACACGGCCCAGACGCCUACGGGAGGCAGCAGUGGGGAAGUUUGGACAAUGGGGGAAACCCUGAUCCAGCCAUCCCGCGUGAAUGAGAAGGCCUUCGGGUUGUAAAGUACUUUUGUCAGAGAAGCGGUAUCUGCAGAAUAAGCACCGGCUAACUACGUGCCAGCAGCCGCGGUAAUAC